rnacentral:misc_RNA from 1 species
AAAAAAAAAAAAAAUAUAAAAAAGAAAAAAAAAACUUUUUAAAGACUAUAUGCUUAAGUCUUAUUUCUGGAGAUGAACAACAGGUUGAAUUGGUAUCAUUCAUCAAUUUAGCUGCCUGCAACUAACAUUUUUUUACUUUGUUGCCAUUACGAUUCAACCCUAAACUGUAUGGAAUGAAAAAAAUAGAUCCAUAGAGCCUAUCCUAACUGGUUUGGGAUUAAGGCUUAAUUGAG